GACGAACGCUGGCGGCGUGCUUAACACAUGCAAGUCGAACGAUGAAGCCGGAGCUUGCUCUGGUGAAUUAGUGGCGAACGGGUGAGUAACACGUGAGUAACCUGCCCUUGACUCUGGGAUAACUGCUAGAAAUGGUAGCUAAUACCGGAUACGACCCUCGGAGGCAUCUCCAGGGGGUGGAAAGAAUUUCGGUCAAGGAUGGACUCGCGGCCUAUCAGCUAGUUGGUGAGGUAACGGCUCACCAAGGCGACGACGGGUAGCCGGCCUGAGAGGGUGACCGCGCACACUGGGACUGGGACACGGCCCAGACUCCUACGGGAGGCAGCAGUGGGGAAUAUUGCACAAUGGGCGCAAGCCUGAUGCAGCAACGCCGCGUGAGGGAUGACGGCCUUCGGGUUGUAAACCUCUUUUAGUAGGGAAGAAGCGAAAGUGACGGUACCUGCAGAAAAAGCACCGGCUAACUACGUGCCAGCCGCCGCCGUAA
rnacentral:rRNA from 1 species